rnacentral:sRNA from 1 species
UGACAUAUAGUGUAAUAGUGCAAAACACUUCCUACCUGCAGGAAAAGUGAUUUGUAUUUAUGACACGCCCAAAUACUGGGAAACGGCAAUUUGCGAAGUAAAUCAGCGGAUUCCGAGUAUUGGCAGGAUUGCGGGAAUUGCGAAGCAAUGGAGCAAUCCAUAUGUCA